AGAAUCAACGCUGGCGGCGUGCCUAACACAUGCAAGUCGAACGAGAAAGUGGAGCAAUCCAUGAGUAAAGUGGCGCACGGGUGAGUAACACGUGACUAACCUACCCUCGAGUGGGGAAUAACUUCGGGAAACCGAGGCUAAUACCGCAUAAAACCUAAGGGUCAAAGGAGCAAUCCGUUUGAGGAGGGGGUCGCGGCAGAUUAGUUAGUUGGCGGGGUAAUGGCCCACCAAGACGAUGAUCUGUAUCCGGCCUGAGAGGGCGCACGGACACACUGGAACUGAAACACGGUCCAGACUCCUACGGGAGGCAGCAGUGGGGAAUUUGCGCAAUGGGGGAAACCCUGACGCAGCAACGCCGCGUGGAGGAUGAAAUCCCUUGGGAUGUAAACUCCUUUCGAUCGGGAAGAUAAUGACGGUACCGGAAGAAGAAGCCCCGGCUAACUUCACGCCAGCAGCCGC
rnacentral:rRNA from 1 species